rnacentral:rRNA from 1 species
AUUGAACGCUGGCGGCAUGCCUUACACAUGCAAGUCGAACGGCAGCACGGGUGCUUGCCCCUGGUGGCGAGUGGCGAACGGGUGAGUAAUACAUCGGAACAUGUCCUGUAGUGGGGGAUAGCCCGUCGAAAGCCGGAUUAAUACCGCAUACGAUCUACGGAUGACAGCGGGGGACCUUCGGGCCUCGCGCUUUAGGGUUGGCCGAUGGCUGAUUAGCUAGUUGUUGGGGUAAAGGCCUACCAAGGCGACGAUCAGUAGCUGGUCUGAGAGGACGACCAGCCACACUGGAACUGAGACACGGCCCAGACUCCUACGGGAGGCAGCAGUGGGGAAUUUUGGACAAUGGGCGAAAGCCUGAUCCAGCAAUGCCGCGUGUGUGAAGAAGGCCUUCGGGUUGUAAAGCACUUUUGUCCGGAAAGAAAACCUUGGCCCUAAUACGGUCGGGGGAUGACGGUACCGGAAGAAUAAGCACCGGCUAACUACGUG